UACGGAGGAUCCGAGCGUUAUCCGGAUUUAUUGGGUUUAAAGGGUGCGUAGGUGGCCUGUUAAGUCUGUCGUGAAAUCCCCGGGCUCAACCUGGGAAUGGCGAUGGAAACUGGGCAGCUAGAGUGUGUCAGAGGAUGGUGGAAUUCCCGGUGUAGCGGUGAAAUGCGUAGAGAUCGGGAGGAACAUCAGUGGCGAAGGCGGCCUUCUGGACCAAUACUGACGCUCAUGCACGAAAGCGUGGGGAGCAAACAGG
rnacentral:rRNA from 1 species